UACGGAGGGGGCUAGCGUUGUUCGGAAUUACUGGGCGUAAAGCGCACGUAGGCGGCUUUGUAAGUUAGAGGUGAAAGCCUGGGGCUUAACUCCAGAACUGCCUUUAAGACUGCAUCGCUUGAACACGGGAGAGGUGAGUGGAAUUCCGAGUGUAGAGGUGAAAUUCGUAGAUAUUCGGAAGAACACCAGUGGCGAAGGCGGCUCACUGGACCGUUGUUGACGCUGAGGUGCGAAAGCGUGGGGAGCAAACAGG
rnacentral:rRNA from 1 species